AAAGUUACUCCUUGACCCAUGUUUGGUAUGAGACAAACACUAAGCUGUCGGCUUUUCUUAAUUAUAUAAUAACAUCAAGUCACAAAAAAAAACUUUAUAUUAAAUAAUGGAGCGACAGCUCCUAUAAAAAGCUAUGAAGCAACUAUAUUAAAUAAAAAUACCAUUUUACUAGAUAAUAAAGGUAAACCUGGUAUUUAUCGUUGAAUUAAUAAAUUAAAUAAUAAUACUUAUGUAGGUAGUGGUUUAAACUUAUCUAAAAGAAUAAGUGAAUACUACAAUAAAAGUGAACUAGAAAGAAAUACUAGACCUAUACAUGCUGCUUUACUAAAAUAUGGAUACGAUAAUUUCAUAUUGGAAAUAUUAGAAUAUUGCAGAGCAGAUGAGCUUAUUAAAAGAGAACAGUAUUAUUUAGAUACAUUAAAUCCUGAAUAUAACAUAUUAAAAUAUGCUUAUUCAUUAUUAGGGUAUAAACAUACCCCUGAGAACAUAGCGAAAUUUAAGCUAAAAAAAGUUUCACAAGAACUUAAAGAUAUAUUAUCUUCAGUACAUUCUGGAAAAGAAGUUAGCCAGGAGACUAGAGAUAAAUUAUCUAUAGCUAUAACUAACUAUAAAAAAAAUAAUCCUCUUUCACAGGAAGCUUUAGCUAAUAUUACAGCUAAAACUGUAGAACGUGAAGGAGUACCAGUGAUACUUUUAAAUACUCAAACUAAUGAAGAAUUAGAGUUUCCUACUUUAACUAAAGCAGGGGAAUAUUUGAGUAUAAAAAGACAAGCUAUACGAAACGCAAUAAAAAGAAAAAGUCUUGUUAAAGGACUAUAUCUUGUUUCAGAAAAAUAAAGUAGGCAGUAAUACUUCACACACAUAAGUACUAGUAUAAUAAAAAAAGAUAAAAAUUACUUUAAUUUCAAUAAUUAAAUUAUUGAAAUCAGAUUUAUAGAUAAUCUGUUGUCUAAAUGGAUAGUUCAUACAGAAUAUGAACUGUUUAGGGAGAAAGUUUAAGCUUAUUUAGUACAUAAGCUAAAUUUCCGUGUAUGUCAAAAGGGAAACAGCCCAGAACAAGAGUUAAGGUUCCUAAAUUAUUAGUUGAGUGAAAUUAAGAAGGUUUUUAUUAAAGUCGACAAGGAGAUAGGCUUAGAAGCAGCCAUAAUUUUAUGACCUCGUAACAGAGCGCUUGUUAAAUUUUAAAAGCAUCGAAAAUUUACCGGAUCUAAACAAUAUACCGAAACCUUGUCCAUAAAGUUUUAUAAUGAAAAUUAUAUUAUAAUUUAAUGGGGUAGCAGAACGUUGAGCUAAAUUAUGAUUUUUAUUAUUUUAAUAAAAUUAUAUUAUUUAACUCAAGUGAGAAUGGUGACAUGAGUAACUAAAAGAAAAUUUUCCGCCUAAAGCUUAUGGAUGUAAUUAAGUAACGGCCUCUAAGUUUAUAUUAUCUAAAGAUUUAAACGAUGAGAUAAUCUUUAUUACUAAGGACGACAUUUAAAGUGAUAAAUGUACUGGAAAAAUAGUAAUAUAUUUAUUAAUUGAUGCUGCUAUGAAAUAUAGCAAGCUCUAAUAAAUGAAAAGUAACCGUACCUAGAAUCUGAAACAAGUAAGCUAGUAGAGAAUACGAAGGCGUAAAUGAGCUAACAAUCAUAAAGGAACUCGGCAAAUUGACUACCGUAACUUCGGGAUAAGGAGAGCUCAUUCUUUUUGAUUAAUAUCAAAUAAAGAUGAAGAAGCAUGAAAUAGUGUUGUACGACUGUUUAAUUAAAACACAGCACUCUGCUGAAAGAUUAAAAAUCUAAGUAUAGAGUGUGAUGUCUGCCCGGUGCCGGCUGGUUAACGGAUAUAAUUGGAUAUACUAAUAUCUGAUGUUGAAGGAAACCCCGGUUAAAGGCGGCCUUAACGUGAGGGUCCUAAGGUAGCGAAAUGCCUUGGCCGUUAAAUGCGGUCUUGCAUGAAUGAUGUAACGAUACAACAGCUGUCUCUAUGAUUGACUCAGUGAAAUUGGAAUAGCUGUGCAGAUACAGUUUACCUCUAGUUAGACGAGAAGACCCUAUGCAGCUUUACUGUCACUAAUUAUAGAGUAUGAUAAAUAAUUUUCAGAAUAUAAGGUAAUAGAUGAUAUAACAAUGAGAAUCCUUUAUUUCUUUUUCAUAUGAAUGAAUUGGUUUAGGAUUACUAUGAACAACUUGUUUGCUUCAUAGUAAUAGUAAAUCAGCCUAAUUCAGCUUAUUAAUUAAUAAGUACCCUUUGGUAAGGAACUAUCGCUAGGGGACAGUUUAUGUGGGGCACAGACCCUGUAAAGAGUAAACAGGAGUGUCUAAUAAUUUAUAAUUAUUUUGUUUGCGAUUUAAAAUAGUUUAACUAUUUUUAAUCAUAUAAAAUUAUUUAUAUUUACAUUAUCGGCUUAUUGCCUCUACGGGGGCAAUAAAAAGAGCAUGUAUAUAUAUUUAAGAUUAGGUAGGAUUUUCACUAUAUAGAAAUUAGAGAUAAUUAAAAAUAUUAUGUGCUGCCUCCUAUUUUAGGACGAAUACAGUACUAAUAUUUUUUAAUAAUUAGGCUUAUUUCAUAGCCCGAAGGGCUAGCAAGCACUAAUUGUUAUGUUUUAAAUAUCUAAAAAGCUCAACGGCUUAAUCCUGCCUUACUGUUUGAUUAUCAACAAAUCUUACAGUUGCGUAAGCAGGGCAUAGGAUCACAAGAUGCAAUAAGGAAAGAUCUUGGAUUAUUGGAAAAGCUACGCUAGGGAUGUUUGUCCUUUAAUAUUUUAAAUACUAUUACAGCUGGCUUUGUUUGCUUUAAGUAGCACUUAUAAAGUUAAGCUAGUACGGUAUUAUAAUAUAAUUAAUAAUAUAUUGGGUUAAUUUCAAAGAUUACUAGGCUGCGUAUUAUGUAGUUAUAGUAAAUUUGAAGCGAAAUUUAUCUUAGCAUAAAUAAUAAGAUAAAGACGUU
rnacentral:rRNA from 1 species